AAAAAUGAUAACCCCAAUUUUUCAAAAUGUUAGGCACACUAUAUUAAAAUGUGAAACAAUAUAUUAAAACAAUAUGCUUCACAUCUGUUUUUACCACAAUAUCCACAUUUUAAAAAACAUUUUCCUGCACAUAUCGAAUCAGAUUUUAACGACACGCCUAAGAGAAAUAAGUGUUCAGUAAAAACAUCUGAAGGUAACCCCCCCCCCC
rnacentral:lncRNA from 1 species